UACGGGGGGUGCGAGCGUUGUCCGGAAUCACUGGGCGUAAAGGGCGCGUAGGUGGCCUGGUAAGUCUGUGGUGAAAGCCCGGAGCUCAACUCCGGGUCUGCCGCGGAUACUGCGAGGCUUGAGUGCUGUAGAGGGGGGUAGAAUGCCGGGUGUAGCGGUGGAAUGCGUAGAGAUCCGGCAGAAGACCGGUGGCGAAGGCGGCCCCCUGGGCAGUAACUGACACUGGAGGCGCGACAGCGUGGGGAGCAAACAGG
rnacentral:rRNA from 1 species